rnacentral:rRNA from 1 species
CCUACGGGAGGCAGCAGUGGGGAAUAUUGGGCAAUGGGCGCAAGCCUGACCCAGCAACGCCGCGUGAAGGAAGAAGGCUUUCGGGUUGUAAACUUCUUUUAUCAGGGACGAAGCAAGUGACGGUACCUGAUGAAGAAGCCACGGCUAACUACGUGCCAGCAGCCGCGGUAAUACGUAGGUGGCAAGCGUUAUCCGGAUUUACUGGGUGUAAAGGUGGUGUAGGCGGAAAUGCAAGUCAGAUGUGAAAACUAUGGGCUCAACCCAUAGACUGCAAUUGAAACUGUACUUCUAGAGUGCUGGAGAGGAAAUCGGAAUUCCGGGUGUAGCGGUGAAAUGCGUAGAUAUACGGAAGAACACCAGUGGCGAAGGCGGAUUGCUGGACAGUAACUGACGCUGAGGCGCGAAAGCGUGGGGAGCAAACAGGAUUAGAUACCCGGGUAGUC